GUUCAUCAGGAAUGCGCUGACGCGAAUGCUGCAAUCCUUUGCAGACAAGACGGCGACCACACGUUCCCCUGUCCCCUCCAGAACGAGAAGCCAGCCAGCUUUCAAGUGCGGUUAGCCUUCAAUUCAUGCCGCUAAAAAACCGGCAACAAAGAAGUAAACAAAAAUGAAAACGCCACCUAUCUAUCGUUUCCCUUUCUACUAGUACUAGUGUAGAAGGGAAACAUGCUCUUGGCUUCUUUGCUGCCCGUCUGAUGCAGCAACACCAAAGACAAUGGAUGAAUGGACCAUGCACGCACCACAGCCCACAGGUUCAUCAUGUUUGUAAACGACUCGACGUGAAGCCAAAGAGUUGCCACGUCCGCUGUCCUAUCCAGCCUCGCAUCCCGGAAAGAUCCUUUUUUGUGCCCGUGCGCCCGGGCUCUGCACUCAUUCUUUUGUCGUCGCUUGUGGAUGCGAUACCAUUUAGGCCUCACAGGAGUAAAGUAGAGUAUCUGUCACAUCAGUGAUGAAUGUUUAGAUACUAUUAAUUAUAGAUUAAUAGUAAAACUAAUUGCAUGGACGGAGAUUAAUUAACAAGACGAAUCAUUAAGUGUAAUUAGUACAUGAUUGGACAAUAUGUUGCUACCGCAACCAUCUACUAAUGAUUAAUUAAUUUAAUUAUCAGGUUUAAUAGAUUCGUCUCGCGAAUUAGCCUUCAUCUAUGUAAUUAGUUUUAUAAUUAAUAUCCUUAUAAUUAACCUCCGAAGAUUCAAUGUGACACGGUCUAACGAUCCAAACACCCACUCCUCGUGUCUUGUUGGAUUCUUUUUUUAAAAAAAGACUUAUCUUGUUGGAUUCUAUUGUGAGCUCGGUGAGAAGAGAAACGAAAGCCAUGGUGGAGAAGACGGUGGUGCUGUACCCCUCCUUGGGCGUGGGCCACCUGAACCCCAUGGCGCAGCUGGCCAAGGCAUUCCUCCGCCGCGGCGGCGUCGCCAUCACCAUCGCCGUCGUCGACCCGCCCGAGAAGGACGCGGUGCUGGCGGCUGCGCUGGCGCGCCUGGCCG
rnacentral:lncRNA from 1 species